UUACGUCGUCUUUUCAGUUUUCACAGCCUGAAUUGAAUCAUACGGCUGACCACAACUUUGUCCUAGAUCAUCGGAAUUGGUUCGACCUUUUCACUGCAAUGAGUACUUCGUAAUCUGGGUUUUUAAUUUUUGGUCAAUCGACUGGUCACUUAAUCAUUACCCCCUAUGAAGCGAGGGAUUGCUUAUAUUAUUCUGCAAGUCGUCUUCGUUUUCAUUAUCUGUCUGUACGCUUCAUUUGGUGGAAACUUUCGAAUGCUUUAGGGACAAGAGAUGGACAUCGACGUUAUCUUCGCAACGACUCGGAACGUAAGCCUCCAAACGGGUCGAAAUGGGAAGGAUAAUCAAUUAAGGGUUCCUAGGCAGCUCCAUCCUGAUCUUUAUGGAUGCUAAAUAGCUUGUGGCCGUGAACAUACGGCAGCUGUGGCGGCUGAUGGGUCACGUUUUACCUGAGGUAAAAAACCACCCAGUAAAAGCUCAACCAGAAGAUCAGCCAGGAAUUAUUAUUCUUGCCAAGGAACCGGUUCUUGAACAGGGCACAAGCAAGGGAAGUUGCAUGCUUCCUUCCAAACCCUGAAAGACAUUGCGGCUCUGAGCUGAGAGCUGGUCGUCAAAUCACUAGUAAAUUCAUCUCUCUAUUGGAUGCAGAGGCAGUAAAUGGAGUUCUUAGCCAUACGGAUUACGAGGAGCCUAAAGCACAACGUCCCAAGGUAGAAGAUGAAUCAGCUCCCAGCCGGAGGUUUAGAUUCCUGUCGAGAGAGAGAGAGAUCAAGAUUUACAGGGAAUGCACAAGAAGUCUUUCCCUCUCCAUCCCUAUAAUCAGCAGAUGUUUCUGAACGCAAGCUGGUGGUGGUUGUUCUUAUUUCCUCUCCAACAGAGGGUUUUUUAUUUUUAUUUUUAAUGUUUGAGCUGUCUUCGUACAAAGUCAAGUUCAAUAGGAAUUCUAAGGUGUUGUAUGGGUUUAAUACCUCUUAGUUUUUAGAGCUUAGGAUUGGCAAAUUCAGAUUGGUGCAACUUAUAUCUGGUUAUAGAAAGGAACGAGUUAUACGAACUGUGAGCUAAGUCCCAAAAAAA